GACGAACGCUGGCGGCGUGCUUAACACAUGCAAGUCGAACUGAGUGGCGAACGGGUGAGUAACACGUGGGUGACCUGCCCUGCACUUCGGGAUAAGCCUGGGAAACUGGGUCUUAUACCGGCUAGUGUGGGAUGGGUCCGCGGCCUAUCAGCUUGUUGGUGGGGUAUUGGCCUACCAAGGCGGCGACGGGUGGCCGGCCUGUGCGGGUGGACGGCAACAUUGGGACUGAGGCACGGCCGAGAGUCCUACGGGAGGCAGGAGGGGGGAAUAUGGCACAAUGGUCGGGAGUCUGAUGCAGCGACGCCGCGUGGGGGAUGAAGGCUUGCGGGUUGUAAACCUCUGUCGCUAUCGACGGGGUAGGUGGAGAAGAAGCGCCGGCUAACUACAUGCCAGCAGCCGUGGUAAUGCCUGUGCCGCCGCGGUAAUAC
rnacentral:rRNA from 1 species